rnacentral:rRNA from 2 species
AGGUAAGCUACUAAGAGCGAAUGGUGGAUGCCUUGACUGGUAAAGGCGAUGAAGGACGUACUAGACUGCGAUAAGCUACGGGGAGCUGUCAAGAAGCUUUGAUCCGUAGAUUUCCGAAUGGGGCAACCCAAUGUAUAGAGAUAUACAUUACCUAUAUAGGAGCGAACGAGGGGAAUUGAAACAUCUUAGUACCCUCAGGAAAAGAAAUCAAUAGAGAUUGCGUCAGUAGCGGCGAGCGAAAGCGCAAGAGGGCAAACCCAGUGCUUGCACUGGGGGUUGUAGGACUGCAAUGUGCAAGAGGUAAGUUUAGCAGAACAUUCUGGAAAGUAUAACCAUAGAGGGUGAUAGUCCCGUAUGCGAAAAACAAACCUUAGCUAGCAGUAUCCUGAGUAGGGCGGGACACGAGGAAUCCUGUCUGAAUCUGGGUCGACCACGAUCCAACCCUAAAUACUAAUACCAGAUCGAUAGUGCACAAGUACCGUGAGGGAAAGGUGAAAAGAACUGAGGUGAUCAGAGUGAAAUAGAACCUGAAACCAUUUGCUUACAAUCAUUCAGAGCCCUAUGUAGCAAUACAGGGUGAUGGACUGCCUUUUGCAUAAUGAGCCUGCGAGUUGUGGUGUCUGGCAAGGUUAAGCAAACGCGAAGCCGUAGCGAAAGCGAGUCUGAAUAGGGCGCUUAGUCAGAUGCUGCAGACCCGAAACGAAGUGAUCUAUCCAUGAGCAAGUUGAAGCUAGUGUAAGAACUAGUGGAGGACUGAACCCAUAGGCGUUGAAAAGCCCCGGGAUGACUUGUGGAUAGGGGUGAAAGGCCAAUCAAACUUCGUGAUAGCUGGUUCUCUCCGAAAUAUAUUUAGGUAUAGCGUUGUGUCGUAAUAUAAGGGGGUAGAGCACUGAAUGGGCUAGGGCAUACACCAAUGUACCAAACCCUAUCAAACUCCGAAUACCUUAUAUGUAAUCACAGCAGUCAGGCGGCGAGUGAUAAAAUCCGUCGUCAAGAGGGAAACAACCCAGACUACCAGCUAAGGUCCCUAAAUCUUACUUAAGUGGAAAACGAUGUGAAGUUACUUAAACAACCAGGAGGUUGGCUUAGAAGCAGCCAUCCUUUAAAGAAAGCGUAAUAGCUCACUGGUCUAGUGAUUUUGCGCGGAAAAUAUAACGGGGCUAAAGU